GCCUGGCUGGCUCAGUGGGUAAAGCUAAUGACUCUUGAUCUUGAGGUCAUGAGUUCGAGCCCCAUGUUGGGUG
rnacentral:tRNA from 1 species